UACGAAGGGGGCGAGCGUUGUUCGGAAUUACUGGGCGUAAAGCGUGCGCAGGCGGUUUUGCAAGCCGGAUGUGAAAUCCCCGGGCUCAACCUGGGAAUGGCAUUCGGGACUGCAAGGCUGGAGUGCGGCAGAGGAGACUGGAAUUCCUGGUGUAGCAGUGAAAUGCGUAGAUAUCAGGAGGAAUACCGAUGGCGAAGGCAGGUCUCUGGGCUGACACUGACGCUCAUGCACGAAAGCGUGGGGAGCGAACAGG
rnacentral:rRNA from 1 species